rnacentral:tRNA from 1 species
GCCUCCGUAGCUCAGGGGAUAGAGCGUCGGUUUCCUAAACCGUGCGUCGGGUGUUCGAAUCGCCUCGGGGGCACCA